rnacentral:rRNA from 1 species
UGAGGAAUCUUGCGCAAUGGGGGAAACCCUGACGCAGCAACGCCGCGUGAGUGAGGAAGGUCUUCGGAUCGUAAAGCUCUGUCGGAUGGAAAGAACCGUGCGAAAGUUAAUCGCUUUCGCACCUGACGGUACCAUCAGAGGAAGCACCGGCUAACUCCGUGCCAGCAGCCGCGGUAAUACGGGGGGUGCAAGCGUUGUUCGGAAUUAUUGGGCGUAAAGAGCGUGUAGGCGGCCUGAUGUGUCAGAUGUGAAAGCCCUGGGCUCAACGCAGGAAGUGCAUUUGAAACUGUCAGGCUCGAGUAGGGGAGAGGGAAGUGGAAUUCCUGGUGUAGAGGUGAAAUUCGUAGAUAUCAGGAGGAACACCGGUGGCGAAGGCGACUUCCUGGCCCUAUACUGACGCUGAGACGCGAGAGCGUGGGUAGCAAACA